GAUUUAGUCACCUAUGAUGGCCUGCAUGUGAACUUCACUCAGGAAGAGUGGGCUUUACUGGAUCCUUCUCAGAAGAAUCUCUACAAAGAUGUGAUGCUAGAGACCUAUAGGAAUCUCUCAGCUAUAGGUUACAUUUGGGAAGGACAUACAAGUGAAGACUAUUUUCAAACUUCUAGAAGUCAUGGAAGGCAUGAAAGAAAGUGUACUGCAGUGCAACCCUCUGAGUUUAUUCAAUGUGGUAAAGCCUUUGCAUAUCAGAGUCUUAGACAAAGGCAUGAAAGAACACAUAAUGGAGAGAAAGACUAUUGCUGUAACCAAUGUGGUAAAAACUUUAUAAUAAGCAGUCAUCUCCAAAUACAUAAACGAAGAAAUACAGGAGAGAAACCCUAUGAAUGUAACCAAUGUGGUAAAGCCUUUGCAGGAAGUGGUGACUUCCAAAAACAUAAACGAAGACAAAGAGGAGAGAAACCCUAUGAAUGUAACCAAUGUGGUAAAACCUUUGCUGUAAGAAGUGACCUCCAAAUACAUAAGCGAGCACAUACAGGAGAGAAACCCUAUGAUUGUAAACAGUGUGGUAAAGCUUUUAUAAGAAGGGGAGACCUCCAAAUACAUAAGCGAAUACAUAGAGGAGAGAAACCCUAUGAAUGUAACCACUAUGGUAAAGCCUUUGUAAUAAGCUGUCAUCUCCGAAUACAUAAGGGAACACAUACAGGAGCGAAACCCUAUGAAUGUAAACAAUGUGGUAAAGCCUUUACAAAAAGCAGUAAUCUCCAAAUACAUGAGCGAACACAUACAGGAGAGAAAGCCUAUGAAUGUAACCAAUGUGGUAAAACUUUUAUAAGAAGUGGUCACCUCCGAAUACAUAAGCGAACACACACAGGAGAGAAACCCUAUGAAUGUAACCAAUGUGGUAAAGCUUGUAUACAUAGUGGUAACCUCAAAAGACAUGAAAGAACACAUACAGGAGAGAAACUCAAUGAAGGCAUCUAAUGUUAUAAAACCUUUGCAGCAAGCAUUGUUCUCCAAGUAUAUAAAUGAACACAUACCAGAAAGGAACCUUUUAAAUGUAACCAACGUGGUAAAGCUUUUUCAAAAACCAAUCGUCUUUACACACAUAAAAGCACAUAUAGUUGAAAGAAAUGCUUUGACUUCAACCAAUGUAGUUAUACUUUUUCAAAAAGCAGUCAUGAACAAAAUCAUAAAAGAACACGUAUAGGAGAGAGAUUUUUGAAUGUUAGCAAUGUCCUUUUACACCUUAUUCACAAAGCAGUGGUCUCCAAAUAUAUAAAGAAAUACAUACAGGAGAGAAACCCUAUGAAUAUCAUCAAUGUUCUAAAGCCCUUCUACAUCACAAUCAUCUUCAAAUCCGUAAAGAACAUGAGGUGGAAAGAAAUCCUCUGAAUAUCACUAAUUAGGUAAAGUCAUUGUACAAAAGAGUCAUUUCCCAACACAAAAGUAUACACACUGGAUAGAAACCCUAUGAAUAUAAGAAUGUGGUAAACAUUUUAUAAGUCACAGUAGUCUCUAAGUAAAUAAAAGAAGACAGAGUUGAGAGAAACCCUAUGAAAGUUAUCAAAGGGACAAAGCCUUGUACAUAAAGAUCUUCAAAUACAUAAAAGUAGACAGAGGUGAGAAACCCUAUGUCUGUAAUGCAUGUGGCAUUGCCUAUACUUAUGAGUCAUAUUCAAAGACACA
rnacentral:lncRNA from 1 species